ensembl:lncRNA
AUGGGGAAAACCAUUGCUUUGACUAUGCGGACAUUCAUUGCCAGUGUGAUGUCUCUGUUCUUCACUAUUUUAUCAAGGUUGGCCAUUGCUCUCCUCCCAAGAAGUAGACGUCUUCUGAUUUCCUGGCUGCAGUCUGCAUCACAGAGGGCUACAUUCAGAAGCAUGCGUCGGAUUAGCCCAGAAGAAAAUAUACUGAUACAACAGACCACAGGAGAGAGAAAAAACUGAGAAAAAUAAUGAGCACCAAAGCGAUUUCAUUCAUUCUGGUAGCCCUGCUUCGGCGCGUUCAAAAGCUUUAUCAUUGCACAUUCUACUUCCAGUCUUUUAUUAUUGAGAAAGGAAAGUGUGGUGAAGACAAUUCCGCAUCAAAAACCAACCUAAAAGCUUAUUCACAGAUAUAUAAUACGUGGAUAAAAAUUUGGCCUUAAGAGUAGAUUUCUCUUCCUCUAAACAAAGUAGGAUCAGAACCUUCUUAGAUGGAUGUCACUGUCACUUAGAUGGAUGCCAAGCUAAAAGGAUUAAGUCAGCAGAUAUAAGCAUUUUUGGAUCUUUUCUGGUAUUUUCAGGUGCUUCCAUAAUAAAGACAAUCAUGAUGUUUUGUUUAUUUGUAAACAAUUUUAUUAGUAUUUCUGCAUGAAUUGAAAUAGAUUAUUCCCAUAAAAUCACCCAUAGAAGAAAACAGUGGUGAACACUGAACACUGAAAAACUGAAGGGGAAAGAAGAUACCAUUCUUUUGUUAAUGACGUCUUAAGUAUCCUAAAGCACAAGACAUCAGAUUUUUUUUCCAGUUUGGUUUUGCACACCCGUCACCAUAUUGUGGUGCAGCUGGUUAGUAGCCAGCUGCAAUAAAUCACUACUGAGCAAGAGAUCAUGAGUUCGAAGCCAGCAUGGGUUGGAGUAAACUCCCAACCAUUAAUAGUCUAGCUCAGGGGUCCCCAAACUAAGGCCCGGGGGCCGGAUGCGGCCCUCCGAGGUCAUUUACCUGGCCCCCGCCCUCAGUUUUAUAAUACAAUAUAUUGUACAGUAGAGUCUCACUAAUCCAAGCUAAACGGGCCGGCAGAAGCUUGGAUAAGUGAAUAUCUUGGAUUAUAAGGACUGAUCAAGGAAAAGCCUAUUAAACAUCAAAUUAGGUUAUGAUUUUACAAAUUAAGCACCAAAACUUCAUGUUAUACAACAAAUUUGAUAGAAAAAGUAGUUCAAUGUUGUAAUGUUAUGUUGUAAUUACUGUAUUUACGAAUUUAGCACCAAAAUAUCACGAUAUAUUGGAAACAUUGACUACAAAAAUGGCUUGGAUUAUCCAGAGGCUUGGAUAAGCGAGGCUUGGAUUAGUGAGACUCUACUGUAUAUACAUAUAAUAUUGACAAUAUUAUAAUGUAAUACAAUAUAACACUAAUAAUAAUACCAUAUAAUAAUAUUAAUUAUAUAUUCUAUAUUACAUAUAAUAUUACUAAUAAUAUUACAGUAUAGUGGUAUAGUUCAAUAUAGUAACAUAGAAUGCUAAUAUUGUGCUAUGCUAAUAAUAUAAUAUAUUGUAUGUACAUAUAAUUUGUAAGCCACUCUGAGUCCCCUUUGGGGUGAGAAGAGUGUGAUACAAAUGUAGUAAAUAAAUGCAGUAAAUAAAUAAAUAAUAAAUAAAUACAUUUUAGACUUAGGCUCGCCCAAAGUCUGAAAUGACUUGAAGGCACACAACAACAACAACAACAACAAUCCUAAUUAACUUGACUAUCUCAUUGCCCAGAAGCAGGAGCACACU